AGGGCACGUCGCCCGCGAGGGGGGUGGCGGGCCCAGGAGGAGGGGACCCCGACAGCCCCUCACCGCCUGCCGGGGCGGGCCGCCACGCUGGACGGGGGCAGCGCGGGGCGGGGUCGGGGGGCGGCAGAAGGCGCCUUUGUGCGUCGCGUCCCCGAGCGUGUCGCGGCGGGCCCGGCACCGGCCCCGCUCCAGCGCCCGCCCCCGGCCCGCGCCCCGGGCCCCGCGCGCAUACCUGGCGAGGCCACGAGGGGAUUCUGCGGGCCGAGCCCCGCCUGGGCUGCGCCGCCGCAGGCGGGAGAGGCUGAGGAUUCUUUUGGGAAGCCCCUCCGCCGGCUGUAACCCCAGGGCCGUGCCACCCUCCUGAUCACCGCAAGCAUGGACCCCCCAGCACGCUGCGGGUGGGACAGGCAGGGCCCCUGUGGGGUGGCUUGACUGGCCUGGAGUUGGGGACGAAGUCCCCGGGCUUGGUCCCCCGAGGGCUUGGUUGGGCGUCCCGGGGUAGGUGGCUGCCGCGGCGAUGUGGGCGGCUUGCGUGUGGCCGAUCGGGGUCGCUGCUGAGCCCCGGAGAGCGGAGGGUCCAGGCUAGGCUGGGGGAGCGAGAGGCGAGGGCGGAGCCGCGGAGGUGUGGGCGGCUUUCGUGGUCCGAGAGGCCCCAGGUUCCCGGCAGGGCGGGGAAGGCUGGGGCGGGGCCAGAGCCGGAGCCGCGAAGCCGCGAUGGAGAGGGCCUGGAGGGUGCGCCAGGAGCCGGCGUCAGGGCCUGCCUCCAUCUCCUCCAACCCCCACCCCAUUUAUUCCUGUAACAAAUCCCUACCGGGAGCUGGCACAGCAGCUGUGCGCUGGGGACACACGAGAUGCUCACCCUCCCUGCCCUCCAGGAGCUUGGACUCAGCUGAGGCUGGAACAUGGCCAGGAUGGCAGUGGGGAGCCAUUGGAGAUGUUUGAGCCGGGGAGUGACAGGGUCAGAUUCGAGUUUUGGAAAGAUAACAUCUUGAGCCAUUAAACAGAUUUCUAGGAUUUCAGGUUUAUUUAUUUAUUUAUUUAGAGACUCACUUCACUCUGUUACCCAGGCUGUAGUGCAGUGGUGCGAUCUCUGCUCACUGCAAUCACUCAAGGCCAAGUGAUUCUCAUGCCUCAGCCUCCUGAGUAGCUGGGACUACAGGCGUGCACCACCAUGCCCAGCUAAUUUUUGUAUUUUUAGUAGAGGCGGGGUUUCGCCAUGUUGGCCAGGCUGGUCUCGAAUUCCUGGCUGGGAUUACAGGCGUGAGCCACCACGCCCUGCUGGAUUUUGGAUUCUUGAUACGUAUCAUCAACCACUCUCCAGAGUUUGGCCAGCUUCACGCUCCAUCAGUGGUCUCACCAUAGACCUUCUAAUCUUGAUUGUGUUGGCUGGUGUCUAUUUUCUAAUGGUGUUUGGUUUUGGAACCUGCAUUUCUUUGAAAAAGAGUGAGCAUGUGCAUUUUCCCAGAUGCCUGGUAUCCAACUGCACUUCUCCAUGUGUGCAUUGUCCCCUGAGCUGGCAAGAAGAUCCUACUAGUUGGUCUGCAUGCCAUGCCAGCUCGGCCUUGCACCCUGGGGGCCCAGCUGUUGUCCACACCAAGGGUGGCCUACAGAGGGAAGUGAGGACCUUGGGACUUCCUCCAGGACAGCCCUCGCUGUCCAAAUCUCCACCUGCUGCAGAGCUGCCUCCAGUCAAGCCCUUGUUUCCAGCUUUCUGUGCCCUAAAUAAACUUCUGCUGGGAUUGAGCCAUCAGCAUUCUGUGGUGGGCGUCGCUGCUGCGAGGUUGCCCUCGUGCACACAAGCUCCUCACAGGACUUCCAGGAUGAUAUGGAAGAGUGACUGAGAGCAGCCGCCCGGUGCUUCCCAACCUUAGAGGGAGGUCACGGGCAGUCUCCCUGCGAUGCUGGCCACAGGUGUGAGGAAGACAGUCCUUAUAGGAAAAUGCCCUCUCGUUCUUAUUCUCUACUUUAAAAAAUCUUUAAAUCAUGAGUAUAAUAAAUGUUAUCAAAUGCCAUAGGUCUCGCUGUGUCGCCCAGGCUGGAGGGCAGUGGUGUGAUCUGGACUCACUGCAGCCUCGACCUGUUGGGCUCAAGUGAUCCUCUCACGUCAGCCUCCAAGUAGCCAAGACCACAGGCAGGCGUCACCAUGCCCAGCCCCCAUGAUGACUUUACUUUUCUUCUUGAACCUGGUGAAUUUCUGUGUUAACAUGUCUGAUUUGAACCCUUCUGAUAUUCCUGAGAUAAACUUUAUGUGACCUUGGUAUUCUGUUGGAUUUUGGUUAGCUGAUACUUCAAGAUUUUUAUAAAACUGGGUUGCAAUUUAUUUGUGUUCCCGUUUCUAGCUGUCUAUGAGCUUCAUCAAAUGGGCAGGACCACUUUCCCUUAACUUCUCCUUUUCUGGAACAACGGACAUAUCCUGUGGAUUAUCUGUUCCCCACAGGUUUGGGAUAUGGGUGCUGUGAAUGCCACUGUGCUGGGGGCUUUGGGAAGUGUGUGUUUGUUUUCGUGCGUGUGCGGUGGGAUACAGGUGUGGUUACUACUUUGAUUUCUUUCUUUCUUUUUUUUUUUUUUUUUUUUGAGAUGGAGUCUCACUCUGUUGCCCAGGCUGAAGUGCAAUGGCGCGAUCAUGACUCACUGCAACCUCCGCCUCCUGGGUUCAAGCGACUCUCCUGCCUCAGCCUCCAGAGUUGCUGGGAUUACAGGCACCCACAACCAUACCCUAAAUUUUGUACUUUUAGUAAAGAUGGGGUUUCACCAUUUGGCCAGGCUUGUCUUGAACUCCCAAUUACCAAUUUCUUAUGUGUCCUUUUGAAGACUUUCUAAGUACGACCAACCUAGUAAAGUGAGUCACCCACCACUGUUUUGUUUGUUUUUGUUUGUUUGUUUGUUUUUUAGAAUGGGGUUUCACCUUGUUGCCCAGGCUAGUCUUGAACUCUUGGGCUCCAGCAAUCUACCCUCCUCAGCUUCCCAAAGUGCUGGGAUUAUAGGCAUGAGCCACCAUGCCUGGCCCCACCACUCAUUCUUAACCUCUUCUUCUUUGCCUUUCUCUGUUGCAGAGUCCUGGAAGUUAAAUGCUCUAUUUCCCAGCCUCCCUUGCAGCUAGGAGCAGUCAUGUGACUCCAUUCUGGCCAACGAGAUACAAGAAACACUUGCUGACAGGUGCAAUCAGAAAGCGUUUGCUUUUCCAGUAACAUGUAGGACCAGUCACCUUUUUGCAUUUCCCCUUUCUUCUUGAUUCGAACAUUGCAUUGCCGUCAUGUUUGGAGAUGAGUCAGCCAUCUUGCAAAUAGGAGGCAGCAAGACUGAGGGAAAUGCCAUCCUGCUUCAGAGGGCAGAAUGGAAAGAGAAGCCUAAGAUGGCAAUGGUACGGUUGGGCAGCUGAGUCAGGACUGGGGCCACUGCCUCUCGGUUUCAAGGGAGAAAAAUAAACCCCUGUUUGUUGGCCUCAUGCUAGGUUGGAUUUUCUUUUACUUAAAGCCAAGACAUUUCUAACAUACAAAACCAGACACAUGUGCAUGCCACACGUACAUCACAAGUGAUCACAUGCUGUCCGACUAGCACCUCGAUUUUUCCACUGAACCAUCAGUCUUGCAGAUCAUCCUUUAUCAGUGCCUGGCAACUUGUCUUGCCCUUGUUUUCUUGGGUUUUUGUUUUUGUUUUUGUUUAAGACAAGGUCUCAUCUGUUGCCCAGGCUGGAGUGCAUUGGCACAAUCAUAGCUCACUACAGCCUGGACCUUCUGGGCUCAGCAGUCCUCCGUCCUCAGCCUCCCGAGUAGCUGGUACUAAAGGCAUGUGCCACCAUGCCCGGCUAAUUUUCACAUGUUCUUUUAGAGACUGGGUCUUGCUUUGUUGCCCAGGCUGGUCUUGAACUCCUGGACUCAAGCAGUCCCCCUGCCUAGGCCUCCCAAACUGCUGACACUACAGGCAUGAGCCACUCCACCCAGCCUCGUUUUUGUUAAUGGCAGUAUACCACCACUCUGGAUGUGUAAUAUGAUUUAUUUAACCAGCCUCAUCGACCUUUUGAGUUGUUUCCAAACUCUUUGCUAUUGAGGUAGGAAACAGAACUCAACUCUGGAGGUAGGGCUCAGACACUGGACCAAAUUGAGGACUACCUAAGCAGGUCCAGGGCAGAGGCACCUCCCUAUAAGACACACCCACCAGUGUGCCAUGUCAGUUUACCACUACCAUGGCAACAUCUAGAAGUUAUGGCAUCUUUCCAUGGCAAUGACCUGGCAACCCAGAAGUUACCACCCUCACCCUAGAAAUGUCUGCAUAAACUACCCCUUAAUUUGCAUGUAAUUAAAAGUGGGUAUAAAUCUGAGUGCAGAGCUGCCUCUGAGCGCUGCUCUGGGCAUACUGCCUGUGGGUGGCCCUGCUCCACAAGGGACAGUUCCUGUGUUGCUGCCAUGCAUGGCUGCUCUGCUAUGCACAGCAGCUUGCCUCUGAAUUCUUCCCUGGGUGAAGCCAGGAACCCUCCUGGGCUAAGCCCCGAUUUGGGGGUGUGCCUGCCCUGCACCACUGUUAUGGACAAUGCUACAAUGAAUAACCUUGCACAUACCUCACUUCACACACGAGAACAUAUCCAUAGGAUAAGUUCCUCGCAGUGAAGAUUGUUGUCUUAUGAUGUUCAACCACUGGAUCUGAGAACACGAUAUGCCUUUCAUUCUCUCAGGUCUCCUUUCAUGUCCCUCAGUGGAUUUAAAGUGUUCUUCUUUUUGAUUGUACAUGUUUCUUUUUAGGUUUAUUCCUAGGUUUUAUUUUUUUUUUUUUGGUGCUGUGGUAAAUGAGAUAUUUUUUCUCAUCAAUAUUCCUGCUCACAAGUCAUUUUUUAUGUAGAUGAAGGCUAAUUAUCAUGUUACUUUCGUCCCAGCCACAAAACUUUUUUUUUUUUUUUUUAGAUGGAGUCUCGCUCUGUCACCCAGGCCGGAGUGCAGUGGUGUGAUCUUGGCUCACUGCAAGCUCUGCCUCCAGAGUUCACACCAUUCUCCUGCCUCAGCCUCCUGAGUAGCUGGGACUACAGGCACCUGCCACCAGGCCCGGCUAAUUGUUUUUGUAUUUUCAGUAGAGAUGGGGUUUCACUGUGUUAGCCAAGAUGGUCUUGAUCUCCUGACCUCGUGAUCCGCCCACCUCGGCCUCCCAAAGUGCUGGAAUUACAGGUGUGAGCCACCGUGCCCGGCCUCCAGCCACAAAACUUAAAUAUUGUUUGUCAUAGAAAUUAAAUUGAUUCUCUUGGAUUUUCCAAGGACUUAAUCAUGUCAUCUGCAAAAAGUGAUAUUGUAUUUCCUCCUUUGCAUUUUUUAAACUUAAUUUCUUUCUCUCUUCCAAUUGCAAAAAAAUUAAAUAACAGUGAUGAUAGAAGACACCUUCCUGAGCUUUCACCUUGACAGAGAUGCUUCUAGUAUCUUCCCCAUUUGACACAGGAGUAGCUUUGAGGCUGACAUAAAUGAAUGGCAGCACAUUGAGAAAGUAUUACUGAGAAUGCAAGUUGAUUCUGGGCACGACGAGUAAUGAGAUUUAUACUUAGCCUCCUGCCAUAAACAACGAUAAAGUUGGGCCAAAUGUAUAAGGCAGUUAUGUACAGGAAUUGGACAACUGGUAGGACUGUGAUAGCUGAGAGAAGGGAAAUACCUGAAGUGAGUCCAAGUUUGCCCUGUCUUUUUACCUUGGGUUUUCCUACCAAGGUAUGAGAGAUAAAGCCGCAGCAGAGAUCAUCAGCCAGCGAUCACUGGCUGGGAAAGCAGAGAUCAGUGCUGAGGUGGCUACGAUUGGUAGAGCAGGGCACUGGAGGGGAGGGUGCUACGUAGAAUGAGGGUGCAGAGGCUGCAUGGGGGUCCCUCAGGUCCCUGGAUGAGGCCAGGCUGUACAUGUGCAAGGUGAUCCUUCACAAGGCCUAGCGGGAAGCUGCUGCUGUGGGGCUGGGAGCUGACAGACAAGCCCAGCAGUGUGCAGUGCUAGGCGACAUUGCAGUUCUUGCCCAGCUAGGGUGGAGAAACCUCACCAAGCCCCUCAGGCAAUCAGUUGAGAAAUCAGAAAGGCCAUGGCUUAAGAAUAAGAAUCGCACUCCAGAAUAAUGGCCAAAGCACAGAACUAAGAACACAACCAAAACAGACUCACCCUUACAAAGCAUAAAAUCAAGCCUGCAGUGAUAUCAGCAAAAUGAUGGAAUUGGAAGCUCUGGACUCUCCUUUUCAAAACCAUGAACACAUCAACUCAACAACAAUUCCUGAAAAUUCCCUUUGCAAGAAAUCCAGAAACUAGCUGAGCAUCUCACGCAUUCCAGACAGGAAAACAAUGUAUGAACAAUGGGAGAAUUUCAACAAAGAGACAGAAAAUGCUAAAAAGUACCAAACAGAAAUCAUGGAGCUGAAGAAUAUGAUAACUGCACUGAAAAAGUCACUAGAUGAGGGGAACAGUAGACUGGAUCAAGCAGAAAAAAGGAUCAGUGAACUCAAAGAAAGGUCAUUGGAAAUUAAUCAUAGGAGCAAACGGAAAAAAAGAAAAAGAGUAAAGAAAGUAGAAGGGACUUAUGGGACACCAUCAAUCAGACCAAUAGAUGCAUUAAGGGAGUCCCAGAAAGAUAAGGGAAAGAAUCAUUAUAUUCAAAGAAAUAACGGUUGAAAACUCCUCAGAUCUGUGGAAGAAAAUGGACACCCAGAUUCAAGAAGCCCAAAAGAUCCCAAAUAAGAUGAACUCAAAGACAUUUACAGCAAGGGACAUUAAAAUCAAGUUGUCAAAGACAAAGAAUUAGAAAGCAGCAGGGAAAAGUGACUUGUCACAUUUAAAAGAAUCUCCAUAAGAAAUAAGCUAAUUUUUCAGAAAUCUUGCAAACCAGAGGGAAUGGGAUGACAUACUCAAAGUGCUGACAUUUUUAAAACUACCAAGCAAGAAUACUGUGCCUGGGAAAAAACUGUCUUUCAGAAAUGAAGAUGAGCGACAUACUUUCCAGACAAACAAAAGCUGACACUGUUCUUCACUAUGAACUUGCCUUGUAAGAAAUAAUGAAGGGAGUUAUUUCACUGGAAAUGAAAGGACAAUAAACAGCAACAUGAUAGCAUAAGAAAACAUAAAACUCUUUUUAUUUAUUUGUUUUUUGUUUUUGGUUUUUUUUGAGAUGGAGUUUCGCUCUUGUCGCCCAGGCUAGAGUACAAUGACACCAUCUCAGCUCACUACAACCUCCACCUCCCAGGUUCAAGCAAUUCUCCUGCCUCAGCCUCCCAAGUAGCUGGGAUUACAGGCAUGCGCCACCACACCCGGCUAAUUUUUGUAUUUUUAG
rnacentral:lncRNA from 1 species